rnacentral:rRNA from 1 species
CCUACGGGGGGCUGCAGUGGGGAAUAUUGGACAAUGAGGGCAACCCUGAUCCAGCCAUGCCGCGUGUGUGAAGAAGGCCCUCGGGUUGUAAAGCACUUUCAGUGAGGAAGAACGCCUGGUGGUUAAUACCCAUCAGGAAAGACAUCACUCACAGAAGAAGCACCGGCUAACUCCGUGCCAGCAGCCGCGGUAAUACGGAGGGUGCGAGCGUUAAUCGGAAUUACUGGGCGUAAAGCGCGCGUAGGUGGCUUGAUAAGCCGGUUGUGAAAGCCCCGGGCUCAACCUGGGAACGGCAUCCGGAACUGUCAAGCUAGAGUGCAGGAGAGGAAGGUAGAAUUCCCGGUGUAGCGGUGAAAUGCGUAGAGAUCGGGAGGAAUACCAGUGGCGAAGGCGGCCUUCUGGACUGACACUGACACUGAGGUGCGAAAGCGUGGGUAGCAAACAGGAUUAGAUACCCCGGGUAGUC